rnacentral:lncRNA from 1 species
ACCCUAAGAAAAUUUGUAGCAGAAGAAGAAUUACUAUUUGGUGUUGGAGAGAAAGAACAUCUACCUAACAUCAAAAAGCUGUCAAAUCGGAUUUCAUUGAUUGAAGCUAGAACGCAAAGGAAUAUAAUAAAGAAAAAUGAGGAAAUGAUGAAACGCCGGCCACUUGGUUUGUAUGUCUUCAUUGUAUCAUGUAAAGCAAAGAUUUGUGAAGGAGAAAAG